UACGUAGGGCGCGAGCGUUGUCCGGAAUUAUUGGGCGUAAAGAGCUCGUAGGCGGCCUGUCGCGUCGGUUGUGAAAGCCCGGGGCUCAACCCCGGGUCUGCAGUCGAUACGGGCAGGCUAGAAUUCGGUAGGGGAGACUGGAAUUCCUGGUGUAGCGGUGAAAUGCGCAGAUAUCAGGAGGAACACCGGUGGCGAAGGCGGGUCUCUGGGCCGAUAUUGACGCUGAGGAGCGAAAGCGUGGGGAGCGAACAGG
rnacentral:rRNA from 1 species